AGCAUGUGGUUUAAUUCGAAGCAACGCGAAGAACCUUACCAGGUCUUGACAUCCCGAUGCUAUUUCUAGAGAUAGAAAGUUACUUCGGUACACCGGUGACAGGUGGUGCAUGGUUGUCGUCAGCUCGUGUCGUGAGAUGUUGGGUUAAGUCCCGCAACGAGCGCAACCCCUAUUGUUAGUUGCCAUCAUUCAGUUGGGCACUCUAGCGAGACUGCCGGUAAUAAACCGGAGGAAGGUGGGGAUGACGUCAAAUCAUCAUGCCCCUUAUGACCUGGGCUACACACGUGCUACAAUGGUUGGUACAACGAGUUGCGAGUCGGUGACGGCGAGCUAAUCUCUUAAAGCCAAUCUCAGUUCGGAUUGUAGGCUGCAACUCGCCUACAUGAAGUCGGAAUCGCUAGUAAUCGCGGAUCAGCACGCCGCGGUGAAUACGUUCCCGGGCCUU
rnacentral:rRNA from 1 species